rnacentral:rRNA from 1 species
AUGCGCUUUCGCAUCCUCUGCGACCCUGGCACCUCACGGUCUCUACAAGUGCCUCGCCGGCGAUGGAACACAUUUCUAUCUCAUUGUUUUCUUUCUUCCAUCCCCCACCCCACACAGGCCACGCACACAAGUGAACGAGAGAGAGAGAGAGACCCCCCACCCCACACAGGCCAAGCACACGAGAGAGAGAGAGAACGUCAUGUGUUCUUCACGGGGAGUCCAACCCAAUCCAAGUUUAUUUGCCUGAUUUUGAAUUGGAGCUUACCGUUCACUGAAGGAGAAUACUAUAAUAACAUGGAUGUGCUAAAAGGGAAAUUAAUAUCUAAGUUUAUUUGUUGCUGGUACACAAAAUUGGAGAUGAUAUGCAUUUAUGUAAUUCUUGCACCUUUUUUCGGAGAAUGUUUCAGAUAUUAG